GGAUUGUGGCUCAGUGGUAGAACUCUCGCCUAGCACGUGUGAGGACCUGGGUUCGAUCCCAAGCACCA
rnacentral:tRNA from 1 species